GAGUUUGAUCAUGGCUCAGAUUGAACGCUGGCGGCAUGCCUUACACAUGCAAGUCGAACGGCAGCAUGAUCUAGCUUGCUAGAUUGAUGGCGAGUGGCGAACGGGUGAGUAAUACAUCGGAACGUGCCCUGUAGUGGGGGAUAACUAGUCGAAAGAUUAGCUAAUACCGCAUACGACCUGAGGGUGAAAGUGGGGGACCGCAAGGCCUCAUGCUAUAGGAGCGGCCGAUGUCUGAUUAGCUAGUUGGUGGGGUAAAGGCCCACCAAGGCGGCGAUCAGUAGCUGGUCUGAGAGGACGAUCAGCCACACUGGGACUGAGACACGGCCCAGACUCCUACGGGAGGCAGCAGUGGGGAAUUUUGGACAAUGGGCGAAAGCCUGAUCCAGCAAUGCCGCGUGUGUGAAGAAGGCCU
rnacentral:rRNA from 1 species